UCAGCAUAAUCUGGAGUUUGACUUUUCACCCAAAACAAAGCAAAAGUCCUUGAGCCUUUACAGAAGUUAGUGGCACGUGUCAUUUAACAGCAUCUGGGGUCCUGCUCAUCUCCUGUGUGUGAUCCAGAUGAAUCCACACCACUGAGUCAGCAGAGCCCGGUAGAUUUAUGUCAGGACUUGAUUAUUCAGCAGUAGUUAAGGUGGAAGAAUGACAGAGGGGCUGGACAGGCAGGCACCAAGAAAAGCACAGGCUAAAGAAAGAGGGUUUGCAGUUGUUCCUAAGAAA
rnacentral:lncRNA from 1 species